rnacentral:lncRNA from 1 species
CUUGGAUCCCAUGUUGCUCUGGCUGUGGUGUAGGCUGGCGGCUACAGCUUUGAGUCAGCCCCUAGCCUGGGAAUCUCCAUGUGCCUCAAGUGCAGCCCUAGAAAAACAAAAAGACAAAAAAAAAAAAAAAAAAAAAAUUUAAAAAUUAAAAAAAAAUAAAAUUAACCUAAGACUCCAUGACUGAGCCCAUCACUCAGUCCGAGUAGCAGUGUUCCCUGCAGUUCUCCUUAACCAUUUUAAACAGUUAAAAUCUGUGUUAAGACAAGCUCUGCUUCUUUCUGCGAUGGCUUUGGGGUACCUGUCUUCCUUUUUUUCUCAGACAUCUUACUUCCUUGUCUAUUAGAUAUUGUUCUGCCUGUUUCCCCCACCUAGUGCCAUAAUUUCAACAGAUAGAUAAGUUUAUCUCUAACGCAGAAGCGUGCCUCUGAAGCCAUUUUAAAAAAUCUUACUCCCCGAAGCGGGGAUUUUAUUAGUUGGUGCAGAUAUUCACUGUAGUUUUAGGCACAGGCGGGUACCUGGGUGGCUGGUUUCCACCCCUACAUUCUGCCUUCCUGAUUAAGGCCCCAUUUCUGGAAUGAUGGCAGAGAACUUCCAGUUACAUUCUUCCCAGCGAUGAUGCUGCUCCCUGUGAAUGAUAAAAUGAUCUCACUUUAUGGUAUUUCCUACUAGUCAGUGGGAAAAUGCCAAAACAAUUCUUUUCUUUUUCUUCUCUUUUCCACAGAAGAACAAAUACACAUGAGGACGGAGGAAGUGGGAACCUUAGAGAAGACUGCCUUUGAUCUAUCAGACAUCUUCCUAUGUGAAGUGAAUAUAAAACAAUUUGUUUGUUAAGGACUGAGGCAACGGCCUCUCCGUCCUAUUCGGAAUGUCUCUGAAAAUUUAAUACUCUCAAUAAGAGACCCAACCUGUUCACUUAACAGGGCAAACACAUACCUCUGAAAUGAAUUUUCUCACAAGAUGUCCAGGGGACGAUCAUAAGAUACUUUUUUGUCUAUUUGUUGCUCAUGGGAGGAAGAGAAAUUGAAUUGCUCUUUCUUCUACUUUGCUUGCUGAAGUUUGUGUGAACAUCUGUCAGAUUCUGUAGUCAUUUUCAUGCUGUUUCACGGGCGUGUAGAUCUAAUAAUGCCUAUUCAAUAUUAACUCAUUCUCUCUUUUAUAUUGGUACAGAGGGAUCUUCUGUGGACAAAAUUGCUAUUUUUCACCAACACUUAUAUCUUAGAAAAAGAUUGUAAAGGUUUUCUAAUUUAAGAAACAUAAAAAAUUAUAUGAAUUUUUGUUGACUUGUAUUUAAAUGCAUACUGAGUGCUUUAGAAAUAUUAUCUCUUCCUUUCUUCCUUUUUUUUUUUUUUUUUUUUUUUUUGGCUGUACCCAUGACAUGUGGAACUUAGUGGACCAGGAAUUGAACCUAAGCCACGGCAGUGAUAAUGCCUGAUCCUUAACCACUGGGCCACCAGAGAAUUCCUGUAUUUACUUAUACUUAUAAGAAAUGUUGUCUAUCUAAAUAGAUUAGCAGACUCUCUAGAGAAAAACUGAAUAUAUUUGGUCAAAAAUAAAAUUACUUUAGGUUCAGGACAUCAAGCUUUAAGAACACUGACAAACUAAGGAUUUUUUUUUCCUAAUUGGUAUUGAAAGCCUAGAAAGCCCUGCCUUCCAGUCCUUAAUAUUUGAUCACUUUGAUCCUUAUUACAUAUUCAAUUCAAGCUCUAUCUCUUCUGAGAAGACUUUCCAGUCCACCCUAAGCUGCUUGAUUACUUCUCUUCCUUAACUUUUAAAACACAUGUUCCCUCAAUCUCCAAUUUGACAUUAAUUAUAUUAAGACCUUGCAUUAAUUUUCAAGUCUUUAUCAUAUCCCAAGUAACAGCAGAACUGGCUUAAAGCAGGGCUGUUCCGGGAGUUCCCGUCGUGGCGCAGUGGUUAACAAAUCCGACCAGGAACCAUGAGGUUGCUGGUUCGAUCCCUGGACUUGCUCAGUGGGUUACCGAUCCACAGUUGCCGUGAGCUGUGGUGUAGAUUGCAGACGUGGCUCGGAUCCCGAGUUGCUGUGGCUCUGCCCAUUUACUUCCAUAAUAUUUCUCCCUUGUCCUACAUUCUACCUCUGGAUUUAAAUAUGUUCAGAGAAAUCUUUUCAGAGAGGCAAUCACUAAUUUUCACUGACUAGUCUCCUUACUGGCCCAGCCUUUAAGAGAAGAUUAACAUCCAAAGAUAUGAAUGAAAUUAUUUCUAAUUGUAGCCUCUCCUCUGUAAUGAGAAAUUUAAGACUUUGAAAUAAGCAGAGAGGAUUCCUGGGUAUUCUUUCAGUGGAAUGUUAGAGCCUCCAAAGAUGAUCUGAGGGAGUUCCCAUCGUGGUUCAGUGGGUUAAGAACCUGACUAGUGUCCAUGAUGAUGCGGGUUCGACCCCUGGCCUUGCUCAGUGGGUUAAGGAUCAGGCGUAGACGUGAGCUGUGGUGUAGGUCGCAGACGCAGCUUGGGUCUGGCGUGUCUUAGACCCCUAGAGCCUGGGAACCUCCAUAUGCUGCAGGAGCGGCCCU